rnacentral:rRNA from 1 species
CUUUUUUAGCAGGAAAGAAGCGAAAANNGNCGUUNCUUCCAGAAAAAAGCNCCGGCUAAAUNACGUGCCCAGCAGCCGCGGUAAUACGUANGGGCGCAAGCGUUUUUCNGGAAUUUUUUNGGGCGUAAAGAGCUCGUAGGCGGUUUGUCGCGUCUGCUNUGAAAAUCCGGAGGCUCAACCUCCGGCCUGCAGUGGGUACGGGCAGACUAGAGUGCGGUAGGGGAGAUUGGAAUUCCUGGUGUAGCGGUGGAAUGCGCAGAUAUCAGGAGGAACACCGAUGGCGAAGGCAGAUNUCUGGGCCGUAACUGACGCUGAGGAGCGAAAGGGUGGGGAGCAAACAGGCUUAGAUACCCUGGUAGUCCACCCCGUAAACGUUGGGAACUAGUUGUGGGGUCCAUUCCACGGAUUCCGUGACGCAGCUAACGCAUUAAGUUCCCCGCCUGGGGAGUACGGCCGCAAGGCUAAAACUCAAAGGAAUUGACGGGGACCCGCACAAGCGGCGGAGCAUGCGGAUUAAUUCGAUGCAACGCGAAGAACCUUACCAAGGCUUGACAUAUACGAGAACGGGCCAGAAAUGGUCAACUCUUUGGACACUCGUAAACAGGUGGUGCAUGGUUGUCGUCAGCUCGUGUCGUGAGAUGUUGGGUUAAGUCCCGCAACGAGCGCAACCCUCGUUCUAUGUUGCCAGCACGUAAUGGUGGGAACUCAUGGGAUACUGCCGGGGUCAACUCGGAGGAAGGUGGGGAUGACGUCAAAUCAUCAUGCCCCUUAUGUCUUGGGCUUCACGCAUGCUACAAUGGCCGGUACAAAGGGCUGCAAUACCGCGAGGUGGAGCGAAUCCCAAAAAGCCGGUCCCAGUUCGGAUUGAGGUCUGCAACUCGACCUCAUGAAGUCGGAGUCGCUAGUAAUCGCAGAUCAGCAACGCUGCGGUGAAUACGUUCCCGGGUCUUGUACACACCGCCCGUCAAGUCAUGAAAGUCGGUAACACCUGAAGCCGGUGGCCUAACCCUUGUGGAGGGAGCCGUCGAAGGUGGGAUCGGAAUUAGGACUAGUCG